UAGGGAAUCUUCCGCAAUGGGCGAAAGCCUGACGGAGCAACGCCGCGUGAGUGAUGAAGGUCUUCGGAUCGUAAAACUCUGUUAUUAGGGAAGAAUAAAUGUGUAAGUAACUAUGCACGUCUUGACGGUACCUAAUCAGAAAGCCACGGCUAACUACGUGCCAGCAGCCGCGGUAAUACGUAGGUGGCAAGCGUUAUCCGGAAUUAUUGGGCGUAAAGCGCGCGUAGGCGGUUUUUUAAGUCUGAUGUGAAAGCCCACGGCUCAACCGUGGAGGGUCAUUGGAAACUGGAAAACUUGAGUGCAGAAGAGGAAAGUGGAAUUCCAUGUGUAGCGGUGAAAUGCGCAGAGAUAUGGAGGAACACCAGUGGCGAAGGCGACUUUCUGGUCUGUAACUGACGCUGAGAAGCGAAAGCGUGGGGAGCGAACAGG
rnacentral:rRNA from 1 species